rnacentral:rRNA from 1 species
GACGAACGCUGGCGGCGUGCUUAACACAUGCAAGUCGAACGAUGAAGCUAGAGCUUGCUCUGGUGGAUUAGUGGCGAACGGGUGAGUAACACGUGAGUAACCUGCCCCGAACUCUGGGAUAACUGCUGGAAACGGUAGCUAAUACCGGAUAUGACCAAUGAAGGAAUAUUCUGUUGGUGGAAAGAAUGUCGGGUCGGGAUGGACUCGCGGCCGAUCAGCUUGUUGGUGAGGUAACGGCUCACCAAUGCGACGACGGGUAGCCGGCCUGAGAGGGUGAGCGGCCACACUGGACUGAGACACGGCCCAGACUCCUACGGGAGGCAGCAGUGGGGAAUAUUGCACAAUGGGCGCAAGCCUGAUGCAGCAACGCCGCGUGAGGGACGACGGCCUUCGGGUUGUAAACCUCUUUUAGUAGGGAAGAAGCGAAAGUGACGGUACCUGCAGAAAAAGCACCGGCUAACUACGUGCCAGCCGCCGCCGUAA